rnacentral:lncRNA from 1 species
AUCUGUUUGCUGUGUGACCCUCCGGACAGCUCUGUGGGACCUGGAGGAAACUGUGAGCCCUACAGAUAAAGUCUGUGCUUCCAGCGUCGGUAAAUCCCAGCAAGCGCCACUACCUGGAGGCUGACACUUUCCCAUCUUGGCAGUCAGCUCCCUACAGAGGUGCUUCUCCCACUGCCCAAGAUCCCUGCCUCCUCCUUAAACCCCAACUGAUAGAACAGAAACCACCACCUAAGGAACGUGAAGGGGAAGCAUCUGAAACACCAGAAGAUCUUGGAUUGUUCCUGAGGACUUCAGAAUCUACAGGGACAAAAGGCAGAAGCAGGAAGUCCGAAGUAAAGAUGACUAAGAAAAGGCGGGUGGAAAAGAUUUCUGUGAAAGUGUCAGAGGCAAAGCUCUGAAAGACCUGAAACUCAUGCCGAAAGCAAAGAACAGCAAAAAGACAGUAGGGAUGUGUCUGGAGCAACAAGGAUCGGGCUGUUCCUGGGGCAGCCGAAUUCACAGCUCUGUUUUACUCCUAAUGGAGGAUCUUCCUGCUGCAGCGGCGAGUAGACCUUACUGUAAAGGUGCAGGCAAGGGGAGGGGAAGGGCAGGCAGCUGCCCAUUGGAGUUCACAUCUCCAAGCCUGAGAAAAUGUGUUCCUGGAUGCCCCAAGCCAAUGGAAAAGCAGAAUCAUUGACUAUGUUUGACUCCUUCUGGUACCUAGCACAGUAUCUGGGACACAGCAGGUGCUAUGUAAAUGUGUUGAGUGAAUGAAUGAAUGAAUGCCAUUGAGGAGAAUGAAUAACCCCAGAAAACUAGACAUGGGUAGAUGUUGUCCUAAUUUCAAAAGAGGGGAAAAUGAGAGUGAGAGUUUCAUAAAUGACAAUCUCUAAACGAUGUUGCUCUCUAGCAAAAUUCUAGAAUGGAUUAUUUUAAGAACAAAGCAGGUAAACAUUGGCAGCCAACUUGAAAUUAAUAAGAAAAAGGUGUGCGCCAGAAUAGUUUUAUUUCCUUUUGUUUUUCAUUGUACAGCUUGAUUUGACUAAGUUGUUUAUACCUUUCACUCUGCCUUUGCAUGCACUGGGGGUGAUCUAGUCUACUAUGUGGACUGGAAGUCCACCCAGUGGCCAGGCUCAGAGGCAGGGAAGGGGGGUUGGUGCCAUUCUGGGAGAGGAGGUUUCUGGGGCUGUUUCUCAGCCAGAUCCUGUCUCAUCUGUUUCCAACAACCCCACAAAUGAAGACACUGAAGCUGACUAAUCAAAUUGACUGAUGCCCCAAUAGGUGUCAUGAUAUGCAGUGAGAAUCCGGCAGGCAUUAGAGAUGAACAGCACGGGCUGCAGCCACAUUAUCUCAGCUUGAGUCCUAGUUUUCACCAGCUACUAGCUAGCUAUCUCUGGUCAAGUCACUUACCUUGCUUGAGCCUCAGUUUCUCCAUCUAGAAAAUGGUCAUAAUCGAAGUAUCUAUCUUAUAGGGUGUUGGGAAGAUUAACUGAGAAGCCACAUAGAGUUUACUGGCACAUUAAAAAAAGAAACUAUAAGAAUGUUAGCUGUCCUUUUGCACGGCAAAAGGAACAGUAAGCAGAGUAAACAGACAACCCACAGAGUGGGAGAAAAUCUUCCCAAUCUAUACAUCCGACAAAGGACUAACAUCCAGAAUCUACGAGGAACUCAAAUUAGCAAGAAAAAAACAAUCCCAUCAAAAACUGGCCUAAGGACAUGAAUAGACAAUUCUCAAAAGAAGAUAUACAAAUGGCCAACAAACAUAUGAAAAAGUGCUCAAUAUCACUAAUGAUCAGGGAAAUGCAAAUCAAAACCACAAUGCAAUACCACAUUACUCCUGCAAGAAUGGCCAUAAUAAAAAAAAAAUCAAAAAAAUAAUAGAUGUUGGUGUUGAUAUGGUGAAAAGCGAACACUUCUACACUGCUGGUGGGAAUGUAAAGUAGUACAACCACUAUGGAAAACAGUGUGGAGAUUCCUUAAAGAACUAAAAGUAGAUCUACCAUUUGAUCCAGCAAUCCCACUACUGGAUAUCUACCCAGAGGGGAAAAAAAAAGUCAUUAUAUGAAAAAGAUGCUUGCACAUGCAUGUUUGUAGCAGCACAAUUCGCAAUUGCAAAAAUAUGGAACCAGCCCAAAUGCCCAUCAACCAACAAAUGGAUAGAGAAACUGUGGCAUAGGGCUGGGCGCCGUGGCUCACGCCUGUAAUCCCAGCACUUUGGGAGGCUGAGGCAGGCGGAUCACGAGGUCAAGAGUUUGAGACCAUCCUGGCCAACAUGGUCAAAGCCUGUCUCUACUAAAAAUACAAAAAUUAGCCGAGUGUGGUGGCGUGCACCUGUAGUCUCAGCUACUUAAGAGGCUGAGGCAGGAGAAUCGCUUGAACCUGGGAGGCGAAGGUUGCAGUGAGCCAAGAUCACACCACUGUACUCCAGCCUGGCAACAGAGCAAGACUCUGUCUCAAAAAAAAAAAAAAAAAAAAAAAAAAAAAAAAAAAAAAAAGAAAGAAAAAAAAGAAAAAAGAAACUGUGGCAUAUAUAUACAAUGGAAUACUACUCAGCCAUAAAAAGGAGUGAAUUAAUGGCAUUUGCCGCAACCUGGAUGAGAUUGGAGACUAUUAUUCUAAGUGAAGUAACUCAGGAAUGGAAAACCAAACAUUGUAUGUUCUCACUUAUAGUGGGAAAUAAGCUCUGAGGAUGCCAAGGCAUAAAAAUGAUACAAUGGACUUUGGGACUUUGUGGGGGAAAGGGUAGGAAGGGGAUGAGGAUUAAAAGGCUAAAAAUUGAUUUCAGUGUAUAUUGCUCUGGUGAUGGGUGCACACCGAAAUCUCACAAAUCACCACUAAAGAACAUACUCAUGGCCGGGCGCAGUAGCUCACGCCUGUAGUCUCAGCACUUUGGGAGGCCGAGGCAGGCGGAUCACGAGGUCAGGAGAUCGAGACCAUC